rfam:Triticum aestivum genome assembly, contig: Triticum_aestivum_CS42_TGACv1_scaffold_227344_3B
CAACUACUCCCUCUGUCCCAAAAUUCUUGUCUUAGAUUUGUCUAGAUACGGAUGUAUCUAAUACUAAAAUGUGACUUGAUACAUCCGUAUCUUGACAAAUCUAAGACAAGAAUUUUGGGACAGAGGGAGUACUUU